rnacentral:rRNA from 1 species
GACGUAGGGCGCGAGCGUUGUCCGGAUUUAUUGGGCGUAAAGAGCUCGUAGGCGGCUUGUCGCGUCGUCUGUGAAAACCCGCGGCUUAACUGCGGGCUUGCAGUUGAUACGGGCAGGCUAGAGUUCGGUAGGGGAGACUGGAAUUCCUGGUGUAGCGGUGAAAUGCGCAGAUAUCGUAAGGAAGGCCGGUGGCGAAAGCGAGCCUCUGGACAGUUACUGACGCUGAUGCACGAAGGCCAGGGGAGCAAACGGG